CGACGACGACGACGACAACAACAAGCAGCGUUACAACAAGAGCCUGUUCUAGCGGCCUCACACUACAGGAACUGGCAGCCACACAAGUGCGCAAGGAAGGAAAGUGGGCACGUUGGUGUUGUCGGGGCGGCUGCUCCGCUGGAGUUCCUGGCUCACACUUGGUAACCUCGUCAGGGUAGUGGUCUUCCGAUCCAGCCCGACGUCUUCCUUGGUCCAGCUGUCAUUGCUGAAGACAUUGCGCCGAGUCCACGCAUGCAAGAACAUUGUCCACCAUGCACUACGCCUGG